CUUUUUCACUCGCAGUUCCCACUUCCCAUUUCCCUGGAAGGCUGCAAUUCUCAAACCCUCGUCUCGCCUUAUCAAGCCCACCAAAUAUGUCAGGUUCUCAGUGCUGCGAUAACCCACCAACCCUGAACCCAGCCUCUGGAGCAGGUUCUGUCACUGAAGUUGGGGGUCUCAAGGCAUACGUUAGCGGACCUUCUGAUUCGAAGCGCGCAAUUGUUCUCAUUUCGGAUGUUUUUGGAUUCGAGGCACCAAACCUGAGGAAGCUUGCUGACAAAGUUGCUGCUGCUGGAUUCUAUGUGGUGGUGCCCGAC
rnacentral:misc_RNA from 1 species